CAUUGUGGUGGUUUCUGUAUUUGGCAGAUCUGUAAGUGUGGCAGAGCGGCCUUAAACUACCACAGAGAUCAGAAAGGAGAAGGCAGGGCUGAAAACUUUGAAGCUUUUAGUUUUCAGCUUUUUGUUCAGCUCCUACAAAA
rnacentral:snoRNA from 1 species